rnacentral:SRP_RNA from 1 species
ACCGAGCACAGUGGUGCGUGCCUGUAGUCCCAGCUACUCUGGAGGCUCAGGUGGGAGGAUCCCUUGAGCCCAGGAGUUCUGGGCUGUAGCGCGCUAUGCUGAUCGGGUGUCCACACCAAGUUUGACAUCAAUAUGGUGACUUCCUGGGAGCAGGCGACCACCAGGUUGCCUAAGGAGGGGUGAACCGACCCAGGUCAGAAACAGAGCAGGUCAAAACUCCUGAACUGAUCAGUAGUGGGAUCGUGCCUGUGAACAGCCACUGCACUCCAGCCUGGGCAAUAUAGCUAGACCCUGUCUCU